rnacentral:rRNA from 1 species
UACGUAGGCAGCGAGCGUUGUUCGGAAUUACUGGGCGUAAAGAGUGUGUAGGCGGUGCUCUAAGUUCGGUGUGAAAUCUCCUGCUUAACUGGGAGGGUGCGCCGGAAGCUGGAGUGCUCGAGCGUGGGAGAGGAAAGCGGAAUUCCUGGUGUAGCGGUGAAAUGCGUAGAUAUCAGGAGGAACACCUGUGGUGUAGACGGCUUUCUGGACCAUAGCUGACGCUGAGACACGAAAGCGUGGGUAGCAAACAGG